rnacentral:lncRNA from 1 species
AUUCCACGUAUCGCUUCUGAGGGCCCGGCUUGGACCCAAGACAUCUGUCGGCCCAAUCAUACAUGAGCCACCGGAGGACGAGGUAGUGGAGCCAGUUCGAGUGCUGGCGAAGCGCAGAAUACGAGUAGAAGGACGACUGGAAACCCAGAUACUAGUGGAGUGGCUGGGGAGAGCAGCAGACCAGACCACAUGGGAGUUUGAGAUUGAGAUACUUGAUCGUUUUCCUGACUUCCGACCUUGAGGACAAGGUUAAGGGAAGCGUGGUGGAGUGAUGCGGUUGGAUCCACUAGACCGCCUCAGACUGAAUCAUUUGGUUAUUUUUGCUUUUGAGUCCUUGAUGUUAAUUUUAUUUUAGCAUAGCCUUGCUCGAGCUAGCCGACUU